AACGAACGCUGGCGGCAGGCUUAACACAUGCAAGUCGAACGGGUGUAGCAAUACAUCAGUGGCAGACGGGUGAGUAACACGUGGGAACCUUCCUAGGGGUACGGAACAACUCAGGGAAACUUGAGCUAAUACCGUAUACGUCCGUGAGGAGAAAGAUUUAUCGCCCUUAGACGGGCCCGCGUCGGAUUAGGUAGUUGGUGGGGUAACGGCCUACCAAGCCUACGAUCCGUAGCUGAUCUUAGAGGAUGAUCAGCCACACUGGGACUGAGACACGGCCCAGACGCCUACGGGAGGCAGCAGUGGGGAAUCUUGGACAAUGGGCGCAAGCCUGAUCCGGCCAUGCCGCGUGAGUGAAGAAGGCCUUAGGGUUGUAAAGCUCUUUUACCAGGGACGAUAAUGACGGUACCUGGAGAAUAAGCCCCGGCAAACUUCGUGCCAGCCGCCGCCGUAACAC
rnacentral:rRNA from 1 species